UGGGCUGUAGCCUCAUGCGCUUGCAUGGGGUGCUAGGGGUCGAGUGUUCGAAUCACUCCGUCCCGACCA
rnacentral:tRNA from 1 species